rnacentral:rRNA from 1 species
UGGGGAAUCUUGCGCAAUGCGCGAAAGCGUGACGCAGCAACGCCGCGUGGGGGAAGACGGCCUUCGGGUUGUAAACCCCUUUCAGGAGGGACGAAGCCUCGGCGGUUAAUAGCCGAUCGGGGUGACGGUACCUCCAGAAGAAGCCCCGGCUAACUACGUGCCAGCAGCCGCGGUAAUACGUAGGGGGCAAGCGUUGUCCGGAAUCAUUGGGCGUAAAGCGCGUGUAGGCGGUUCGGUAAGUCGGCUGUGAAAGUCCAGGGCUCAACCCUGGGAUGCCGGUCGAUACUGCCGGACUAGAGUUCGGAAGAGGCGAGUGGAAUUCCCGGUGUAGCGGUGAAAUGCGCAGAUAUCGGGAGGAACACCAAUGGCGAAGGCAGCUCGCUGGGACGUUACUGACGCUGAGACGCGAAAGCGUGGGGAGCAAACAGGAUUAGAUACCCUGGUAGUCCACGCCGUAAACGAUGGGCACUAGGUGUGGGAGGUGUCGACUCCUCCCGUGCCGGAGCUAACGCAUUAAGUGCCCCGCCUGGGGAGUACGGCCGCAAGGCUAA